rnacentral:tRNA from 1 species
CAGGAAAUAGUUUAAGCUUAGAAUGCUAGCUUUGGGGGUUAGCGGUGGGAGUUAAAAUCUCUUUUUUCUGG